UGUAUAUAGAGCAUAAUAUAUUUGUGUAUAUUCUUUAUCACCGCGGAAACGUGAGCUACCAUGGCCUUAUGACUCUCAAGUGGUGCAGCGGUCAAAGGCACAGCACAUCAGUACUAGAGGUGUCACUACAGACUCCCUGGUUCAAAUCCAGGCUGCGUUUCCAUCAAAAAACAUUAUUUGCCAAUAUCAUAACUGAAGCUGGACAUCUUUGGAGCAUAAGAAUGAGGACAGCUUUUGUAUGCUAACGUACACUCCUUAACAGUUGUACUGGAUGAAAACACAGCAAGAAAACGCAUGCCAAUAUGCAUAGUAUCAUGGCUGGUCACCUGUCAAGUCACAUGUCAGGUCAGUCAGUCACCUAUUGCUGCAGAUGUGCUCAAUAAUGCUUGAGUAUGUGAUACUCCUCAAAGCAUGGUGAAAUACAUAGAGGUGUAUCACAAGCUAGACACAUGUAUUUUGUCAUCUUCCUCUGCUUACUUCUCCUGGCGCCAGACAGGCAGACUUUGCAAUGCCUCCGUGUGCGACUACCUUGAGAAGCAGUUUGAGGGACUU